rnacentral:lncRNA from 1 species
UGGGGUCUGCCGACUCCGCAUCCAUACAUUUAUCUCUCCAUCACUUCAUCUUCCGGUUUGUAUUUGUUUCUCUUCUUUCAGUACGUAUCAAAUCACACGCGCGUUCACCCACGCUCUCCCAUUGAAUUUUUUUAUUUACAAAAAAAAAAAAAAACUAUUCCAAAACUCAUUUUGCACCUGUAUUUAUUAUUUGCUCCUUUUACUAUUUGAUAUUUAUUGCCUUUUUACUCUUUUAACUAGGAUGGUUCUUUUCUUUUAUCAAACUAACAUAUGUUCUAUUAUAAUUCAAAUUAAAAUAAUCUAAACAAUAAACACAAACAAUUUUAUCAUAUACUUUAAUUUAUCUAUAACUUGUUUUUAAAUCAAACAUUUCAAAGUGUAUUUCAAGUAAACACUUGGUCGCUUCACUUUUAUUUUGAAAAAUAUGGAGUAUUUGGAGUAGGUUGGUUAUUAUAAUCCUACCUUGUGAUAUUUUAUGUUUUGGUAUAAUUUAUUUUAGUCUGAAUUAUAAUAAUAUGUGUUUAAACUUUUAGGGUUGAUCACAGCUAAUUGAAAAUUUUUAUAGAAAAUACUACUUUUAGUUAUUAUAAUUUUACUAUAUAGUUGGUGUCUCUUACUUUUAAAGAACAUUUUUCAUCCUCUUUGUCAUUCAAUACAAAAUAUUAGAAAGAAAAUUUGAAAAAAAAAGGUUAACAAAAUAUUUAGCGUUCGUAACAAAAAUUAAGUAGGAUAAAUUUUAGUAAAUUUUUUAUGUAAAAAUAGUUUUUAAAUAUUUUUUAACUGCGCCACACAACCACUUUCUAUAGAAUUAGACAUGGGCUACACUUGGUGCAGAUUGGAAUAGCAGCACCAAGUUGUUUUCUCUCUUAAGUUUGAUGCUUUUGUUAUUAUUAUUAUUAUUUUAACAGAUACUUUUACUAUUAUUUCGAAGAAGGACAAUGAUUUUCAUUUUUACUCUCCCUCCCUUCCACCAUCCUUUUUGAUCUUCCAUCCCCCAAAUAUAGUCCAUUUUGAUCAAAAAGGUUCCACUUUCUUCUGUGUGCUGUGAAAUUGGUAUCUGAUGCUACUUGUAUGUUGAGUUUGGAGAUGGAGGGGAAAUGAUAUGUUUAUGAGAAUGUUGCUGUUGAUUACAACAACACUUUAGUGUACGUUCAUUCAUGAGAACUAGGCCCUUCCGUUUACCAGACUUAAGAACGGAGAGAUCUUCUUGAUGCAUCGGAAUUGGGAGGGAUUAAAUUCAAGGACAGAGUGGCGUCGUUGGAUUUGAGAAGCAUGAAAACUUGGGGAGUCUGAAUGUGAGGGAUUAAAAAUGGGGGAUGGCUAAUGCAAGACUGGCCGAGAGAUGAAGAUGAACUGAGGAGUUGGUGGAUGAAGGAAAGCAGUGUAGAGGGAUGAGCGAGCAACUAUUUUUAUGUUCUGAUUUUAAAAUAUUAUUUUCCAUAUUUAAAAUAAUAAUACAAGCAUGUAAUUAAGGUAGAGAAUAAUUUCAGACCAAUUAAACUUACUAACAAACACUAUCAAUGCACAUGAA